rnacentral:rRNA from 1 species
AAUGGUAACAGGAAACAGCUUGCUGUUUCGCUGACGAGUGGCGGACGGGUGAGUAAUGUCUGGGAAACUGCCUGAUGGAGGGGGAUAACUACUGGAAACGGUAGCUAAUACCGCAUAACGUCGCAAGACCAAAGAGGGGGACCUUCGGGCCUCUUGCCAUCAGAUGUGCCCAGAUGGGAUUAGCUAGUAGGUGGGGUAACGGCUCACCUAGGCGACGAUCCCUAGCUGGUCUGAGAGGAUGACCAGCCACACUGGAACUGAGACACGGUCCAGACUCCUACGGGAGGCAGCAGUGGGGAAUAUUGCACAAUGGGCGCAAGCCUGAUGCAGCCAUGCCGCGUGUAUGAAGAAGGCCUUCGGGUUGUAAAGUACUUUCAGCGGGGAGGAAGGGAGUAAAGUUAAUACCUUUGCUCAUUGACGUUACCCGCAGAAGAAGCACCGGCUAACUCCGUGCCAGCAGCCGCGGUAAUACGGAGGGUGCAAGCGUUAAUCGGAAUUACUGGGCGUAAAGCGCACGCAGGCGGUUUGUUAAGUCAGAUGUGAAAUCCCCGGGCUCAACCUGGGAACUGCAUCUGAUACUGGCAAGCUUGAGUCUCGUAGAGGGGGGUAGAAUUCCAGGUGUAGCGGUGAAAUGCGUAGAGAUCUGGAGGAAUAC